rnacentral:rRNA from 1 species
GAUGAACGCUGGCGGCGUGCCUAAUACAUGCAAGUCGAGCGAGUGGAUUAAGAGCUUGCUCUUAUGAAGUUAGCGGCGGACGGGUGGGUAACACGUGGGUAACCUGCCCAUAAGACUGGGAUAACUCCGGGAAACCGGGGCUAAUACCGGAUAACAUUUUGAACCGCAUGGUUCGAAAUUGAAAGGCGGCUUCGGCUGUCACUUAUGGAUGGACCCGCGUCGCACUAGCUAGUUGGUGAGGUAACGGCUCACCAAGGCAACGAUGCGUAGCCGACCUGAGAGGGUGAUCGGCCACACUGGGACUGAGACACGGCCCAGACUCCUACGGGAGGCAGCAGUAGGGAAUCUUCCGCAAUGGACGAAAGUCUGACGGAGCAACGCCGCGUGAGUGAGGAAGGCUUUCGGGUCGUAAAACGCUGUUGUUAGGGAAGAACAAGUGCUAGUUGAAUAAGCUGGCACCUUGACGGUACCUAACCAGAAAGCCACGGCUAACUACGUGCCAGCAGCCGCCGUAA